CUCCGGAUCUCGGCUCACCUGAGGGGGCCGGUGAGAGGCACAGAGAAGGGGUUAUAGCGCCUGGAGGAAAGCGACUGUCACGGACCUCUUAUGACCAUGCUUUCUCGUGAUCACGUUUCCCCAUUUCUUGGGACUCUGAGGUACCCCCCGCUCUGGACCUGAGGAAGUAGUUGCAGCAGUGACUAGAGCCAUGGUUGAGAGUUCUUCCCGAUUGACUUGUAGAGACAGGCUCAACCCCAUGGGAUACAUGCCACAAUGUGUGCUCAAUAGCAGCAUUACCAGAUCUUCUUCAGAAGCAUUCUCAGUUUCAUCCAGGAUAUUGGUGUGAAUUUAAAUUUCUCUGGCUCUUUCCUGAGAAGCUCUUCAAAACUACAGAACUCCUCAUCACUCAGUCUUUGCAGAGGCUUCAGCAAGCCAUGGCCAGAUGAGUCCACCAUCUUGGAUAGUCAUCUCCGAUUCCAGAGCCUGAUAAAUCUUCAAAACAAAGACAUAAGUGAUACCUUGGUCCCAAAAUUUCAACACUGGGAAUCCAUUUCCAAGCAACAACUGCACAAAUGCUCAAAGAUGCACCCAGUCUGGACCUGGUUGCAUGGGCUGAUACUUAUCAAAGGACAGUGAGUACUCUUAACUGCAGAGCCAUGCCUAUGCUACCAAGUAUAUUAGAAGCCACUCUAUUUGUACAUUAUGAGGAGUUAGUGGCACAGGUGCACAGUUUCUACUUCUAGGAGGACCAGCUCUUGA
rnacentral:lncRNA from 1 species